rnacentral:rRNA from 1 species
CCUACGGGGGGCAGCAGUAGGGAAUUUUGCGCAAUGGGCGAAAGGCUGAACCAGCCAAGUCGCGUGAGGGAAGACGGCCCUACGGGUUGUAAACCUCUUUUGUCGGGGAGCAAAGCGAGUCACGUGUGACUCAUUGAGAGUACCCGAAGAAAAAGCAUCGGCUAACUCCGUGCCAGCAGCCGCGGUAAUACGGAGGAUGCGAGCGUUAUCCGGAUUUAUUGGGUUAAAAGGGUGCGCAGGCGAAAUGUCAAGUCAGCGGUAAAAUUUCGGGGCUCAACCCCGUCGUGCCGUUGAAACUGGCGUUCUUGAGUGAGCGAGAAGUAUGCGGAAUGCGUGGUGUAGCGGUGAAAUGCAUAGAUAUCACGCAGAACUCCGAUUGCGAAGGCAGCAUACCGGCGCUCAACUGACGCUCAUGCACGAAAGCGUGGGUAUCGAACAGGAUUAGAUACCCCAGUAGUC